rnacentral:lncRNA from 10 species
UCCACCUGGCCCGCAAGCGCCGCGCGCAGCCCCGGUUCCCGCUCUCGCCUCUCCCUCCACAUCUCUCUGCAAGCUGAAGGAGUGGGCUCCUGCCUUGGCCAGCCCAGAAAGGGGCUCGCACAGUGCAGCGGUGGGCUGAAGGGCUCCUCAAGUGCCGCCAAAGUGGGAGUCCAGGCAGAGGAGGCGCCAAAAGCGAGCAAGGGCUGUGAGGACUGCCAGCACGCUGUCACCUCUCAGUGGGGGCUGUGGGCUCUCUUCCCAGGGGCACUGGCCCUGCCUAACCCUAGCGGUACAGGGAGCACCAGUCAGCUCCUCCUCCAGGCCCACAUGCAGGCUCUGCAGUCCCAGGGAUUCGCAGUGUUAGUUGAUCUCCGGGGACACUAGUUCCCAAGAGACCCCACUGAAGGCCUGGCUGUACCAUCAUAGGCUGUGUGCCCUUGGGCAAGAACCUCUACCAUUCCUCGUUGCCUGUAUAUAAAUUGAAGGCUUUGCUCUAGGUCAGUGUUGCAAACUCAAAUUCCAGUAAUAGGAAUGUGCAAAAUAUGUUGGGGAUAAGGGAGCCAACAGUGCAAGGGGGAAGUGAGUGUUGGGGACCUAGUCUUGGGGUGACGGGAACUGGGCUGAACCGGAAGCGUAUUCCUGUGUAAGGGAGGCCACUGCUCAGAGGGUGGCUGCUAUGGGGCUGGGGGAUCCUGAUUUGUCAAAGGAAGGUGGAAAUUUAUAUUUCAGCUCACACGCUCCUGUUUUUAAAAUGUCUCAAUGUCUCUAAUUCUGACUGUAAAUCUAAGAGUGAUUCCUGUGUGGGUACGGUUAGGAGGAGUCUGACCUCCACCAAAGGGGCUUUGUGGGCUGGGACUUCGUACUCCUGCAGAGCGCAGGACCGCACCCCUGAAUGCAACCUCAGCCUGGAAUGUUGACACAAUCAUUUGGUGUCCCUUUAAAUUGGUAUCCUAUGUACAUAUUGGUAUCUGUAAUAUGUAGAGAUCUCUUACAAGUCUAAAAGGAAGAUAGGGCUGGGCACAGUGGCUCAUGCCUGUAAUCCCAGCACUUUGGGAGGCCGAGGCAGGCGGAUCACCUGAAGUCAGAAGUUUGAGACCAGCCUGACCAAUAUGGUGAAGCCCUAGCCCAUAAGGACGCAGCUCUGGGCUGCCCUCGGGGUUGCGUGUACCUGAGUCCCCACCCACAUCUCACCACUUAGCUUGUCUGCCCAGUCUUUCUUAACACAUUUACAAGCAGAUACAUCAUUGGUGGGAAAACAGAACACUUUAAAAUAUGGGUUCAGCUUUGAUUUCAAGGAGAAGCUGCAAGCUGUGUGAAGGGCUGGGAAGGGCACCACAGGAGACGCAGCUCAGCCUCUUCUUCGUCCUCAGCAACUCAGCUCUGACCCCAAGUUUCACCCCAUGCAGCAAGGGCUCUGAGCCCUCCUGGGCCCACCAUCCUUAGAAAGCAGCUUAGGGGAGGGAAGUCUUAUUGUCCCCACUGCAAAUUAUUUCUUUGAGGAAAAGCUACUAGUUUCCUUCUCAAUGCCUGUUCUCAGGGUAUCAGCGUGACCAGCUUUGUUUAAGUUGAUUUUCCAGGCUCCCCUACAGUUCAGGGUGGCCAGGGACCCAGUUCUGGCAAAUGAGACAUAAGUGGACGUCACUGCAAAAGGAUCUGAGGCAGGCUCCUAAAAGGGGAGAGACUCAACCGGCUCUGCGUUGAGUCCUUUGCCCUCCCUCUUCCUGCCUUGAUGCAGAUGAAAGGCUUGGCACUGCAGCAGCCACCUUGUAUCCACGAGGCAGUAAACCUCAGCCGACAGCCACCUGCUUCAGAUGGCAGCCCAGGAAGGUGAAAAGAGACUGGGUUCUCGAUGGCAACUUCGAGUCACGACAGCCUUAGACUUCUGUGAUAUGAAAAAACAACCCUCAUAGUUGUUUAAGCCUCUGGUUUUCAGAUUUCUGUCACAGCUGAAGGGAAUCUCAAGCAGAUCCUUCCUCUGAGCAUCUGCUCUCUUCUCAAGGGGCCUUCCGGUCACAUGCUUUCCUUCAUUCCCAUUACAUUUCCGUCCAGGUUCUAAUGUCCUAGGGAUAUUGUAGCACGCCUCUGCCUGGCCUAACUUCAACCUCCCUCUGGAUGUGAGAGGCAGACCUCACUGUAGGAAGAGGGUGAAGGAAGGGUGUCGAAUAAUGCAUAAGGAACCAAGGACUAAUAUCCAUAUAUACAGACCCAAACAUCAGGUGACACUGAGCGUGUGCAUCCACAGCUUCUCACACCUGCCUUGUCUGGUAGACACCAGCUCUGGAUCCCCAGACCUCUCACCUGAGCUCUAGGGCAAACGCUUCCCGACAUCCCCCGUGGCGGGCAGCGAGGCCGGGAUGGUGUGGAGCUGCGCACUUCCAGCUUCUGGGAUGCAAGGCCCUGUCACCACUCGAUUUCCAGGUGUCUGCUUCACAGUGAUCUGUUAAACUGCCAUAUGUGUUUUAUGCACCUUCCUGGGUUGUGCUACAGCUGA